rnacentral:lncRNA from 1 species
CCGGGGAAUCUUUAGAAAGCACAGUGGAAACAGAUGUCUGUUUUUACAAGCCCAUCACUGCACAGAAUGCAAUAUGGGAGGGUUUCACUAAUGGUUAACCAUAACCACACUCCAGCGUGAGCCCAGCCACUAGGCAAUGUGCUGAUAAGGAUUCUAAGUGGUUUAUGUGGACUCCUCAUGACCUAUGACACACAUACGUUUACAGUGGAGUGGAACGAGGCAGGAGGGCUUCUCUUUGUCAUAGUCUACCAGCUCUGCAGAGGUGUCAGCUACAUCCGGAUUGGCUCAGGGAGCGGCCGUCAGAAGACUUACACGUGUUUAAUAACUGAGGCUUGAACAUGAAGUACAGGAACGUGCAUCUUAUUUUUGGAAGAUGGAGCCCCGUUGGGGGAAUUUGAGCAGUGGAGGGUCACAGCCAGGGUCUCGUCCAGGCUGAAGUGCUGUGGUGCGAUC